GCUCGUCUAAAAACACCAAUUAUGAGGCUGGUCUUAAUAGAUUGCUUUUUAGGUGAACAUGUAGAGAAGAAUUAUUUUAAAGCAAAAUGGACUCUAUUUAAAGAUAGUAGAGAAACAAUGACCUUCAACUUGUAUGUUCUUGGCUCCGCAGAAAGGAAUAUAUAAACUUAGCCAGGAUUUAGUUAGAAGACGGGAAAACGCUAAUUGGUCAAAUAAGAAAGAUUGUAGCUCAUGAGUUGAGUUUUAAUUCUGACCGCCAUCAGGAAUUUUGGGGCCCCAUACAGUUGAAGUGUCAAGCAAGUGAAGUACAUCAGUAUACGUCACAUUUGAGCUUGUGGUCACUUCUGUGGUCCCAGGUCUACUGGUUUCCAUUUCUAAAAAAAAAAGAUGCUGGAGCGGUAGUUCAUAUCCACUAAACAGGCCUGAUGCUGAUCCAGUGCCUAACCAUGAGCCAUUGGAUUGAUGUUAAGUAAGAUUUCCUGAUUUCGUUCACCUUCCUGAUGUUGGUACUGUUAUUUUACCUAUGUUUUUCCUAUCUAUUGUACAGCAUUCAACUAACGGUAGUCUAUCAUAUCAAUCAGUUCUGAGGUGUAGCUGGCCCCUACCUAUACUAUUUUCAUGUGCCAGGUUUGUAUUGAAUUACAGCACAACCCUACCAAGUGAGUUUAUUAUCAUGCAUCCUAUACAAUUUCUUCCCCAUCUCAGGAAUUUCUCCAUGAAAAAGUGCUAUGUAUGUUUCUCUUUUUAGUUAUUUUUUAAACAAAUGUCUCUUAAAGGGGGUUUCCGGUAAUUAAAUACUGAUGGCCUCUUCUCCAAAAUUCUUAAAGGGGUUUCCAGAUCAACUCAUUGAAAGGUCACUCAGGCUCACCCAAAUUCUGCUGCUCUCUUAUCUCUUACCAGGCACAGUGCUGUUCAUUCAGUAUUUCAAGUGAAA